UAGUAACGUGGAUGGCGGAACUAACAUUCCACUUUGGACAACAAACCAGUUUUUUUUUUUUUCUUGCUGCUAAUAUUAAACAUUCUGGAGAGAGAGGAUCUUAUAUAAAAUUCACCAGUGUAUAUAUCAUCGUACGAGGUGAAGGAGAAGAUCAGUGAUGGUGACGGUGAAGACUUUGGCUGUCGUGUCGUCAUACAGAGAGAAUCUGGUGUCCUCAGCAGGAGAUCCAGAAUGAACAGGAAUGUCUUUAUUGCCCCCAUGCGGACAUUUACCUCUGCAGAGAUACUUGUUGUAUUCUUCAUAUCCAGAUCCGUAGGGGCAUUUAAUCUGAACUGAUCUUCCUCUAUAUCCAGUUACUGUAGUUACAGCAUCAGAACCAGCUGGAGAAUAAUAUACGGUGGAAUGAAAUAUGAUCCAGGACGAUGGUGCAACAUAUAAAACCUGAACGAAGCUCAGUAUCCAGGAAUAUUAAAGUGUAAACAUUG